GGCAGAGCUGAGCACUCUAAUGGGACGUGCCGGUGACAAGCCGGAGGAAGGUGGGGAUGACGUCAAAUCAUCAUGCCCUUUAUGACCUGGGCUACACACGUGCUACAAUGGAUGGUACAGAGAGCAGCGAGGCAGCGAUGUGGAGCGAAUCUCAAAAAGCCAUUCUCAGUUCGGAUUGGAGUCUGCAACUCGACUCCAUGAAGUCGGAAUCGCUAGUAAUCGCGAAUCAGCAUGUCGCGGUGAAUGCGUUCCCGGGCCUU
rnacentral:rRNA from 1 species